rnacentral:tRNA from 1 species
GCCUGGCUGGCUUAGUCGGUGGAGCAUGAGACUUCUGAUCUUGGGGGCUGUGAGUUCGAGCCCCAUGUUGGGCG